rnacentral:rRNA from 1 species
GACGAGUCUCACGAACGUUAUUCGGAAUUACUGGGCUUAAAGGGUGCGUAGGCGGUGGAGUAAGUCGGAUGUGAAAUACCUUAGCUUAACUAGGGAACUGCAUUCGAUACUACCUUGCUUGAGUAAGACAGAGGUGAGUGGAACUGAGGGUGGAGCGGUGAAAUGCGUUGAUAUCCUCAGGAACACCGGUGGCGAAGGCGACUCACUGGGUCUUUACUGACGCUGAUGCACGAAAGCUAGGGUAGCAAACGGG